rnacentral:misc_RNA from 1 species
UUACACCAAAAUCGCCAGGGAACUACGAGCAAAGCUUAAAACCCAAAGGACUUGACGGUACCCCACAUCCACCUAGAGGAGCCUGUCCUACAAUCGAUACCCCACGCUAAACCUCACCACUUUUAGCCUACUCAGCCUGUAUACCUCCGUCGUCAGCUUACCACGUGAGCGCAACUCAGUAAGCUCAAUGCCCAUACRCCAAUACGUCAGGUCAAGGUGCAGCAAAUAAAGUGGGAAGAGAUGGGCUACACUCUCUAAUAUAGAAAAUACGGAAGACUACCUAUGAAACCUAGUCUAAAGGCGGAUUUAGAAGUAAAAAGGAAAAAGAAUGUCCUUUUUAACUCGGCACUGGGGUGUGUACACACCGCCCGUCACCCUCUUCAAAGCCACCAAAAAGUAAAUAACCUCACAAUGCAACACAGAAGAGGCAAGUCGUAACAUGGUAAGUAUACCGGAAGGUGUGCUUGGAAACGAAGUGUAGCUUAAACAAAGCAUUUCGCUUACACCGAAAAAAUAUCUGUGAAACUCAGAUCCCUUCGAGCUGAAAAUUUAGCCCUAACUUAACUAAUGCAACACAAAUAACUCACCUCACUCACUAAAACAUUCUAAUACUUUAGUACAGGAGAUUGAAAAACUACUUGGAGCUAUACUAUACAGUACCGCAAGGGAAAAAUGAAAUAAAAAUGAAACAACUAUUAAGCACAAAAAAGUAGAGAUUACCCCUCG